rnacentral:rRNA from 1 species
AUACGGAGGUGCAAGCGUUAUUCGGAAUUACUGGGCGUAAAGCGCGUGUAGGCGGCCCUGCAAGUCUGAUGUGAAAGCCCCGGGCUUAACCCGGGAAGUGCAUUGGAAACUGCAGGUCUUGAGUACUGGAGAGGAUGGGGGAAUUCCCGGUGUAGAGGUGAAAUUCGUAGAGAUCGGGAGGAAUAUCAGUGGCGAAGGCGCCCAUCUGGACGGUAACUGACGCUGAGACGCGAAAGCUAGGGGAGC